rnacentral:ncRNA from 1 species
AUGAUGGUUUGAUCACUUUUCAUUAUAGGUUUUAUGAGACUUUGUUUACAACAAAAGAGGCUCUGUAAUUCUUACAGUGGUUUUACCCACUACAGAAAUUAUAGAGCC